AUUGAACGCUGGCGGCAGGCCUAACACAUGCAAGUCGAGCGGAUGAAGGGAGCUUGCUCCUGGAUUCAGCGGCGGACGGGUGAGUAAUGCCUAGGAAUCUGCCUGGUAGUGGGGGAUAACGUCCGGAAACGGGCGCUAAUACCGCAUACGUCCUGAGGGAGAAAGUGGGGGAUCUUCGGACCUCACGCUAUCAGAUGAGCCUAGGUCGGAUUAGCUAGUUGGUGGGGUAAAGGCCUACCAAGGCGACGAUCCGUAACUGGUCUGAGAGGAUGAUCAGUCACACUGGAACUGAGACACGGUCCAGACUCCUACGGGAGGCAGCAGUGGGGAAUAUUGGACAAUGGGCGAAAGCCUGAUCCAGCCAUGCCGCGUGUUUGAAGAAGGUCUUCGGAUUGUAAAGCACUUUAAGUUGGGAGGAAGGGCAGUAAGUUAAUACCUUGCUGUUUUGACGGUACCAACAGAAUAAGCACCGGCUAACUUCGUG
rnacentral:rRNA from 1 species